UACGGGGGGGGCAAGCGUUGUUCGGAAUUACUGGGCGUAAAGCGAGCGUAGUCGGUUAUUUAAGUCGGGUGUGAAAGCCCCGGGCUCAACCUGGGAAUUGCAUUCGAUACUGGAUAGCUAGAGUUCGGCAGAGGGAAGCGGAAUUUCCGGUGUAGCGGUGAAAUGCGUAGAUAUCGGAAGGAACAUCAGUGGCGAAAGCGGCUUCCUGGACCAGAACUGACGAUCAGGCUCGAAAGCGUGGGGAGCAAACAGG
rnacentral:rRNA from 1 species